rnacentral:piRNA from 1 species
UGGAACAUGUUGAGGUACCUGGCAGCUGCA